AUCAUGAUGGCGAAGGCUGCAAGACAGGACCGCGGUCAGAAAGGCAGGGAGGAGGGGCAGCCGCGCCCGGGCCCUGUCUCGGGUCUGGGGGCGGCAACUGCAGGACCCGAGCCCCGAGAGAAAGCGCAUUAAGAUUCCCAAGGCUGGGAGAGUCGUCCUCGGGGGCAGGCCAGCAGUGGCUGCUGUACAGGAGUGUGUGUGUGUGUGUGUGUGUGUGUGUGUAGCGUUGCUGGGCACAGCAGAAGGGCGAUCAGUGGAGUAGCCGCGGGCUGUCCCCUUGGAGGAGUGCAGGCUCCCUACAGCCCAGGGCUCUGGGGGUAGGGGUUUCCUGCAAGCCUCCUGGCAUGGGCAGGCCUGGAGUAGGGUGCUGGUCGCUCUUCUCCCUUUGGUUUAAAGACUGGGUUGUCUGAGGAUUGAGGGGUGGGGUGGAGGGCAUGGAGCCCUUGGGAGGAGCCAUCCUCCUGGGCGGGGGCCACGGAGGAUGGCGGCCUUGGGUGGAGGACGGGACCGAGUCACUCGAGGCAAGAAAUGGCACUGGGGGCCAAUGCUGCAGGAGCUGAGGCCAAGGCUAGAGGCUGAGGCUGUGUGGCUCUGUUCUCCUGGACAGGUAGGGGACAGGAAGGACUCUGCCUCGGGUGUGCUGCAGAAAGGGAAGGGGAUCGGGGACUGUUGAGAGCAGACAGAGCUCCGGGCUGGCUGCACUCUUACAGCGGCCCUGAUACCACGAGCCGGUGCUCCUGAACAUCAGCGCCUGGAAGACAGACGCACUUGCUGAUCCUGUGGACGCCAAGUCUCUGGCUUCCCGAAUCUGUUAUCCAGAGUUCCCAGAACGGCCACUGCUAGGCGCUCUGCACACCCAGAGACCCACGGCAUUCCUGUCUCCAGUGCCAGGGUCCACACACCCCUGCUGUCUCUGCUCAGACCAGACCUGGCAGCCCCUCCAGCCUGGGCCCCCACGACUCAGAAGGGAGCCCUUUCUCCGAGGACGCCCGGGAAGCCAGACUGCCAUCUGCCCACAGUGACACUUGGGAGCAGGACGGAUGGAACUGUCAUCUAUUACUUUUAAUCGGAGCUGCCGACGCUGCCGGGCACUAGUCGGGAGGAGGGGAGCCAGGAAACAGGCCGUGGAAAUUGCCAAUAAAGACGAUUUGUUUCUGAGGCUCUCA